GUCGAGAAUAGUCUACAAUGGACGAAAGUCUGAUAGUGCGACGCCGCGUGAACGAAGAAGCCCUUCGGGGUGUAAAGUUCUUUUAUAUGUGAGUAGUGCCCUUUAUAUGAAUAGUAUAAGGGGAGGGAAUUAAGCAUAAGAAUAAGCAACGGCUAACUCCGUGCCAGCAGCCGCGGUAACACGGGGGUUGCAAGCGUUGUCCGGAAUUACUAGGCGUAAAGUGCAGGAAGGCGGAUAGAUAAGUUUAAGGUUAAAGGCUACGGCUUACCCGUAGUAAGGCAUUAGAUACUGUUUAUCUGGAAUGCGGUUGAGGGAGACAGAAUUCCUGGUGUAGCGGUGGAAUGCGCAGAGAUCAGGAGGAAUACCGAAGGCGAAGGCAGUCUUCUAAGCCGAAAUUGACGCUAAACUGCGAAGGUGUGGGGAUCAAACAGGAUUAGAAACCCUUGUAGUCC
rnacentral:rRNA from 1 species